UCAUUUGGUUGUGCCCGUUUUUUUCUUAAAAACGAGAGAUUGCAUUGACAUCAGCAUUAAUAUAGUUUCGGCUUGUUUUCCUUUAACAGGACCCCCUAUCAAGUGACACCAUACAAACUAAACCACCUCCUGGUGAAGACAAGAGGCAACUUCAUGCUUGAAGGAAGGAAAGCAAGGAAGUCCAAUUCUUUUUUUUUUCUCAGAUUGUGUAACGGAAACACAGCAUCAGACUUUACGGAGGUUGAUGUUCCUAAUAAAGUCUUAUCUUUA
rnacentral:misc_RNA from 1 species